GGGAAAAUGGCUCAGUCUGUAAGAGCAUUUGUUAGACAAGCAGGAGGCCUGGGUUCAAUCCCCAGCACCCA
rnacentral:tRNA from 1 species